AUCCCACUGAGUUUCAAAAUUACAUUUAUUAUAAAAGAGAGGGAUACCUGGGUGGCUUAGUGGUAAGCAUCUGCCUUCAGCCCAGGGUGUGAUCCUGGAGAUCCAGGAUCGAGUCCCAUAUCAGGCUCCCUGCAUGGAGCCUGCUUCUCCCUCUGUCUGUGUCUCUGCCUCUCUCUCUCUGUGUCUCUCAUGAAUAAAUAAAUAAAAUCUUUAAAAAAAUUUUUUUAAAAAAAGGGAGAAUAUUUUUUUAAAGAUUUUUAUUUAUUUGACAGAUAGCAAGCACAAGCAGGGGGAAUGGCAGGCAGAGGAAGAAAGAGAAGAAAGCUCCCUGUUCCGAGGGGAAGGAGCCCAAUGUGAGACCUGAUCCCAGGACCCUGGGAGCCACCCACGCGUCUGAGAAUGUUUUCCAUGGAAAAAUACGAGAGAGAGAUUUCUCUUCAGUGUAAGAAGACAUUUCUAGGGAGCUGUGCAAAGAUGGAAAGAGAUCUUUGCACACAGAGGCAGAAAGUCUCUGGUUGCUGGGCAGUGGUGGGGAGACUGCCUCUCCUCCCUCCAGGUGACAUCUUCCUCUUGUUUGCUACAUUCCAGCCACACCUCUUUUUCUGAGUUCCCCAGAGGAGCCAGGCCCUUUUCCACACCAUUACUGCUGCCUGGGAUGCCCUGUCCCCACCUCCGGCCCCCACCCCGACUUCUUCAGCCUGUCAACCACAAAAUCUUGCUCUUCCUUGAGCUCUCAGCUUAAUGGUUUCAUCCUCAUACAGGUCUUUCCUGACGCCCUUAUCCAAAGAAGGUCUUACUGUUCCAAUUGUACCAUAAUGUCUUGCGUUUUUUCCUUUAAAGCACAUGCCACAUUUAGUCAGAUAUGUAUAUCAUGUAUCUCACAUGUAUACACACACACACACACGUUUAUAUGAAACCACACAAACACAGUUUGUGUCACCAUUUGUUUAAUGUAUGUUUCACCACUAGAAGGUAAGCUUUGCAGAAGGUACCAUCUCAUUUUUUUCAUUUCUCUGUUCUGUUUACAGCACCUGAAACAUGCAUGGUAGGUGCUCCAUAAAUGUAUUAAUGGAGAAUUAAUAACAUUCGUGCACCAAAGUAUCUUGCUUAGUAUUACUCUGAGAAUGAGACGGGAGCCACUAGAAGAGGUUUUGCAUGGGCCCUGCAUCCAGCACUAAAUAAUACUGUAUCACCUUGUGUGAAAGUAAUUUCUUCUCAGUUUGCUUUCAUUCCUUCUGAUUUUGUCAGAGAGAACAGUUUGGUUUGGUGACAGUCUGUAACUGCCGCUCUUACACCUGCCAAUCUCUCUUGUAAACACAGAGAAAUCAGGCUCUCAGCAAGCAACACUGUCUAGCCGAAUUUAAUAGCAUGUUGUUUUAUUAUUAUAUUCAUUCGUUUGUAGGUUGCCUUUUAUUUGUGGCAAGUGAUACUGACUUUCACCUUAUGGUGGUGCUCUGAAGUUUUCUUUUAAAAUAAGAUUAUAAAUAAAAAUGUGAGUUUAUUUAAUGAGAGAGAGCAUGCACACUAAAUACUAAAUAGCACAGUUCCUGGUAUGACAGUGGUUCCUGAAGGGUCUGAAAUUUUGGGACAACUGAAUCCAUCCCUAAACCAGUUUAAGUUCAUGGCAAAAUAAAUGCAUUUAAGUGAGGUCCACUGCUAUUAGAGGAUCCCUGUGGUUCCUUUCAGUGUGGAGAGUGGAUCUAAUAGUUGCAGGUGAAAUCUUGUUUGCUCCCUGUGUGAAUAGCUGUGGAGGUAGAAAGUCUGUGUGUGGGGGAUACCUGGGUGGCUCAACGGUUUAGCGCCUGCCUUUGGCCCAGGGCACAAUCCUGGAGACCCGGGAUCGAGUCCCACGUCGGGCUCCCGGCAUGGAGCCUGCUUCUCCCUCUGCCUGUGUCUCUGCCUCUCUCUCUCUGUCUCUCUCUCUAUCAUGAAUAAAUAAAAAUAUUUUUUAAAAAAGUCCGUGUGUGUGUGUGUGUGUGUGUGCGUGCACACACGCACUUGUGUGUGCUGCUCCCCAGGAAAAGUGCAGAUGUAUCAUACCACACUUUCUGUUAAAAGGAUUUGUAUGUUCUCUGUGAUUUCAAAUAGGGAUUCCAUGUACAGAUUAUCUUCAACUUAACGAUUGGACACCCUCUUGAUAACCCAUCAGAAUUUGCAAAUAUUCUAAGUCAAAAAUGCAUUCAAUACACCAACCCUGCGGAACAUCACAGCUUAGCCUCACCUUCCUCAACUGCCCGGAGCACUUAUGUUUGCCUACAGCUGGGCAAGGUCAUCUCACACAAGGCCUAUUUUAUAAGAAAGUGUUGAAUAGCUCACGUAAUUUAUUGAAUACUGGACUGAAAGUGAGAAACAGAAUAGGUGUAUAGGUGCAGAGAGUUGUGAGGUCAUGUGGCUAACUGGGAGCUGUGGAUCACUGCUGCUGCCCAGCGUCACUAGAGAGAUGGUCAGGAGCUGGAUGGGGAGGAUGUUUCUGUUGCAGCUUCUUUCCAAGAAGACGGGAAAGGGAAGGGAGCGAUCUGAGAGUUAUGGCACCUAAAUGGCUUUUGGGUGUUGUGAGGGCAGCAGGCUCCCCGUUUUCUGAGGUAGGUUGUCAGGGACUGGACAAGGGGAGAAAAAGGGAGGCAGGGCUGACCUAGGCUGGCCACCUGUUGUAAGGAUCUGAAAGGCAAGUUGGGCCGAGUCCCAGGAGGCCUUUACCACCAGAGAGCAACUUGAAAAGAUGUUGGCUGAUUGCAGCGUUGUCACUGCUGCCUUUUCCUGCUGUUUGGGUCAGUGCCAAAUUUGCUUUGCUUAUAAAAAUCCAAACCCUGGGGCUAAGACUCUUCUGUUCCCAUUAGAAAUUCAACAGAGAUAGUAGGACUGGGGAGAUUAUAGCUUUACUGAUUGUUUCACUUUCGGCAACUGCCUGAUUAAAAACACGCAGAGAGGGACGCCUGGGUGGCUCAGUCAGUCAGGCAUCCGACUCUUGGCUUCUGCUUGGGUCCUGAUCUCAGGGCCAUGGGCUAGAGCCCCUCAUGGGGCUCUGUGCUUAGCAUGGAGUCUGCUGGAGAUUCUCUCCCUUCCUUCUGCCCCUCCCCCUUUAGGUGUGCACAUGCCCUCAUCCUCUCACUCUUGGUAUCUCUCUCUAAUAAAUAAGUAAAAUAUUUAUAAAUAAAUUAAUUAAAACAUGCAAAGAAACAAACCAGGUAACAAACUGGGUGUAAACCAUGGUCAGUGUUUUGGCUUUGCAUUUGAAGCUGCAGCCCUUGGUGACAUCGUUUCUGUGAUGAGUAUCAUCUGUCACCAUGUGAGCCAGUUGUCCUUGGUGUAUGUGUGUGUGUGCACAUGUGUGCUCACAUAGAUCCAAGUCAGUGGCUCCUGUUGAUUGCAGAUCUGAGCCUUGUAAUCAAAGGUCAACAGCUUCAACUCAACAAAUACUCAGUGGGUAUUUAUGGAGUACAUACUAUUUGUCAAGCAUCAUGAGGGGUUGCUGUGUGGAUGGUGUGUGUCCAUGUCUACUCAUGCCUACAAUGUAAUGAUUAGAACAGUACCAUGUAAGUUAAACAAGUGGUCUAAAUAAGAGAUCAACAAAAUGCUCAAGGAUUGGGGUGCCUGGGGGUGGCUCAGUUGGUUAGGUGUCCAAAUCUUAAUUUCAGUUCAGGUCAUGAUCUCAGGGUUGUGAAAUUGAGCCCUGCACGGGGCUCACACUGGGCAUGGAGCCUAUCUGGGAUUUUCUCUCUCCCUCUCCCUCCAUCCCUCCCCCCGCUCACAUGUGUGUGUGCACUUUCUCUCUCAAAAAAAUAAAAAACUAAAAUUAAAAAGCUCCAGGAUCACAGAGGAAAAAGCAUUUAAUUCUAGUUGGAGAUCAUUAAGGAAGGCCUUAUAGAAGAGACAUUUGAUCUGGGCCCCCAAGAAGAUGGCAUGGGGUAGUGGGGAACUGGGAAAGAUACCAAAGCAUAAAGACAUGGGAAAUGUUUUGCUUGGGGAAUGCUGUCAUGAAGUAAACCUCUAGAUUAUCUCGUGUUAUGUGGGUCGUAAUAUGGCUAGGGAAUCCCUUUACAUAUUGUGCUCAGGGGGUGCUGCACAGCAGUGGCAGUACACAGUGUGGGGAAGGCUGUGAGUGCCACAGGCAGCGGGACAGUCCGGAGGCGAUGCAGGUGGACCACUAGAAGAAUUUCAACCUCAUUUAUGGUCAUCAGCUAAUAAAAGUCUUACUCAAGAAGGUUCCGGUAGACAUAUAGUUUAUUUUACAUUUUGAUAUUUGGAGGGAUGAGGUUCAGAACUUCUAGACUAUUUGACAGAUGACCAAAUGAGUAAUGUCAUCCAGGAGAGUAUGAGUUUUUCUAAGACGUAACAUCAUGAUCAGCAGAACUGUAUUUUGUUUUUGAAAGUCAGAAUUCUUUUAUUGUACCCACUUAAAGAUAGCUUCCUACUCUAAAGUAGGUUUUCCAUUUUAAGAGGUGAUUCCACCCCUCCCCCCAUAAACCAAAUGUUACGCUUGUAAAUUAAAAACAACCUGAAACAAGUGAGCAGAACUACAGGUCUGCUGUCUCUGUUCUGCAUCCUGCAUUAAGCUGACUGGUCCUUCUGAAUAUCUGCCAGCAGGUGGUGACAGUGCUGUCUCGCAGUUUCAGUUUUUCCUUUUAGUUAUUUGUGUAUGGUUUGCAGACACACUACCUAUUUGUCAUCUGGAAACUUAGGAAGCAUAUUGGGGGUGGGUGGCGUGACGUAAUUGCUCCACCUGUAGAUAAUUACUACCUGCUAUUAUGUGCAUAAUAAUCACUUCUGGCAGAUUACAGUAGCCUCCGAUGAUAACAGAUCUUUGAAGGUGUGGACCGUGGUCUCCACCACCACAAGCUCCCUGGAGAGCAGAAGAAGGUGAAAGCACUUCUGAGAACCAAAUCCUGCAUCCAGGACACCCCUUCCCGAAGCAGGGCACAGCCCGGCGAGGACUGCUGGCGAGGCCUGGCUCCCGGCCUCCUGGGCGCUCAGGCGAGCAUCCUGGCCGUGCUGCUGCAGGAAGGUGCGGGUGGGGGUCGGCAGCCGCACCCACCCCGACACGGGGCUGGGGGGACUUGGGCUGCUGGGCUCGCUUAAUUCUCGAAUGCUGGUCUCAAAAAAGCAGAAUUGCCUGUCCCACGUUUCUGACCAAUCCAUACACUUUGAGCCCCGUCUUUUUAUCAUAAAAAUCCUUUCUAAUAUCCAUGUUGCUUAUUCACAAACCCUCUGAUGCUGAUCAAAGAUAAAGGUACUUGCAGCCUUAUAAUAACCACCUCUGGGGUGUCAGCUUUUUAUUAGAGCCAUUCACAUGCUAAAUAACUGCUUCUAGGGUAUAAAUUAAAAACCACACAUCUUUAUAUCCCAGCUGAUGCUGGAGUAUUUUGAAGAGAAU
rnacentral:lncRNA from 1 species